UAGCUUGCUAUGAGCUGUUUUAGCGGCGGACGGGUGAGUAACGCGUGAGCAAUCUGUCCCAGACAGGGGGAUAACAGAUGGAAACAUCUGCUAAUACCGCAUAAGACCACAGCACCGCAUGGUGCGGGGGUAAAAACUCCGGUGGUAUGAGAUGGACCCGCGUCUGAUUAGCUGGUUGGUGGGGUAACGGCCCACCAAGGCGACGAUCAGUAGCCGGUCUGAGAGGAUGAACGGCCACACUGGAACUGAGACACGGUCCAGACUCC
rnacentral:rRNA from 1 species